rnacentral:rRNA from 1 species
CCCAGUAACGGCGAGUGAAGCGGCAACAGCUCAAAUUUGAAAUCUGGCCCCCGGGGUCCGAGUUGUAAUUUGCAGAGGAUGCUUUGGGCGAGGUUCCUUCCGAGUUCCCUGGAACGGGACGCCACAGAGGGUGAGAGCCCCGUCUGGUCGGACACCGAGCCCGUGUAAAGCUCCUUCGACGAGUCGAGUAGUUUGGGAAUGCUGCUCAAAAUGGGAGGUAUAUGUCUUCUAAAGCUAAAUAUUGGCCAGAGACCGAUAGCGCACAAGUAGAGUGAUCGAAAGAUGAAAAGCACUUUGAAAAGAGGGUUAAAAAGUACGUGAAAUUGUUGAAAGGGAAGCGCCUAUGACCAGACUUGCGCCCGGUGAAUCAUCCAGCGUUCUCGCUGGUGCACUUCGCCGGGCACAGGCCAGCAUCAGUUUGGCGCGGGGGACAAAGGCUUCGGGAACGUGGCUCCCUCGGGAGUGUUAUAGCCCGCUGCGUAAUACCCUGCGCCGGACUGAGGUACGCGCAUCGCAAGGAUGCUGGCGUAAUGGUCAUCAGCGACCCGUCUUGAAACACGGACCAAGGAGUCGUCUUCGUAUGCGAGUGUUCGGGUGUUAAACCCCUACGCGGAAUGAAAGUGAACGUAGGUGAGAGCUUCGGCGCAUCAUCGACCGAUCCUGAUGUUCUCGGAUGGAUUUGAGUAAGAGCAUACGGGGCCGGACCCGAAAGAAGGUGAACUAUGCCUGUAUAGGGUGAAGCCAGAGGAAACUCUGGUGGAGGCUCGCAGCGGUUCUGACGUGCGAAUCGAUCGUCAAAUAUGGGCAUGGGGGCGAAAGAC